rnacentral:rRNA from 1 species
UAGUCUCGCACAGAUGCAUAUCAAUAAGCGGAGGAAAAGAAACUAACAAGGAUUCCCCUAGUAACGGCGAGUGAAGCGGGAAGAGCUCAAAUUUGAAAUCUUAAAGGGUUUCCCUUUACGAAUUGUAGUUUAAAGAAGUGUUUUCUGUUGAGGUUUUGGUAAAAGUUCUUUGGAAUAGGACAUCAUAGAGGGUGAGAAUCCCGUAUUUGACCUUUACUUUCAACUUUGUGAUACACUUUCAAAGAGUCGGAUUGUUUGGGAAUGCAGUCCAAAAUGGGUGGUAAAUUUCAUUUAAAGCUAAAUAUUGGCGAGAGACCGAUAGCGAACAAGUACCGUGAGGGAAAGAUGAAAAGAACUUUGAAAAGAGAGUUAAACAGUACGUGAAAUUGUCAAAAGGGAAGCGUUUGACACCAGUGUUGUUUUUCUGAAAAUCAAUUAAAGAACUGUUUAUGCUAAGCUGUUUAGACUUUAUCAGCUAUCUGUUUAGUUUUGAGCUUUUCUUUAAUGCACUUUUCAGUUAACAAGUCAACAUCAAUUUCUUUUGCUGUAAAAAAGCUUGAGGAAGGUGGCUUGAGAUUCGUCUUAAGUGUUUAUAGCCUCUUGCCUAUGCAGUCGGAGAGAUUGAGGUCUGCAGCGUAGAUCCUUCGGGGCUAAAUGCAUUUGUGCUAAGUUAUAGCAUUUUAUAGACAACUUGUUGACUAUGAUUUGUCUUGUAGCUUACUCGCUUAUGUUAUUUUACCUACGCUUAGGAUGUUGAUCUGUAGUGCGUGCGC